ACGCUGGUUCUCCGCGAAAUCUAUUUAGGUAGAGCCUCGCGUGAAUACUCCAGGGGGUAGAGCACUGGAUGGGCUAGGGGGAUUACCGUCUUACCAAACCUAACCAAACUCCGAAUACCUGGAAGUACUGCGCGGGAGACACACGGCGGGUGCUAACGUCCGUCGUGGAGAGGGAAACAACCCAGACCAACAGCUAAGGCCCCCAAUUCGCAGCUAAGUGGGAAAGGAUGUGGAAAAUUCCCCAAAACAACCAGGAGGUUGGCUUAGAAGCAGCCAUCCUUUAAAGAAAGCGUAACAGCUCACUGGUCUAAACAAGGGUUUCUGCGCCGAAGAUGUAACGGGGCUCAAGCUGCGAGCCGAAGCUUUUGGGUUUUGUCCGCAAGGGGCAAGCGGUAGCGGAGCGUUCCGUAAGUCUGUGAAGGGACAGCCGUGAGGC
rnacentral:rRNA from 1 species